UACAGAGGGUGCGAGCGUUAAUCGGAAUUACUGGGCGUAAAGCGCACGUAGGCGGCUUGGUAUGUCGGGUGUGAAAUCCCCGGGCUCAACCUGGGAACUGCAUCCGAAACUGCCUUGCUCGAGUAUGGGAGAGGGAAGUGGAAUUUCCGGUGUAGCGGUGAAAUGCGUAGAUAUCGGAAGGAACAUCAGUGGCGAAGGCGACUUCCUGGACCAAUACUGACGCUGAGACUCGAAAGCGUGGGGAGCAAACAGG
rnacentral:rRNA from 1 species